rnacentral:rRNA from 1 species
CCUACGGGGGGCUGCAGUGGGGAAUAUUGGACAAUGGGCGAAAGCCUGAUCCAGCCAUGCCGCGUGUGUGAAGAAGGCCUUCGGGUUGUAAAGCACUUUCAGUGGGGAAGAAAGCCUUGGGGCUAAUACCCUCGAGGAAGGACAUCACCCACAGAAGAAGCACCGGCUAACUCCGUGCCAGCAGCCGCGGUAAUACGGAGGGUGCGAGGCGUUAAUCGGAAUUACUGGGCGUAAAGCGCGCGUAGGCGGUCUGAUAAGCCGGUUGUGAAAGCCCCGGGCUCAACCUGGGAACGGCAUCCGGAACUGUCAGGCUAGAGUGCAGGAGAGGAAGGUAGAAUUCCCGGUGUAGCGGUGAAAUGCGUAGAGAUCGGGAGGAAUACCAGUGGCGAAGGCGGCCUUCUGGACUGACACUGACGCUGAGGUGCGAAAGCGUGGGUAGCAAACAGGAUUAGAUACCCGAGUAGUC